UGGAUAGUCGUGGACUCGACUUCUCUUGAAUAUUGAAUAUUUUGUUCGUAUAGUGUAUCCACAUGACCGACCGGAUUUCUGGUAUUUUCACUCAGUACUUCCAUCCGGUACCGGCGGUACCAUUAUCUCAUUAUUUGAGAGUGCGCUUUUUAAACGAUACGAAAAUCAAUAGUUUUGGGUUUUUAUAAUUGUUAUCGUUUACUGUCGUCGGUUGUUUAAAUUUUUGUCGGAGCACUCGGAGCGGUCAAUGACCAAUGUUGAAAGCCAUUUUAUUGUAGCUUAGAAAUUUUAAAUAAAAGAACGAGCUUGAUUAAUUACUAUGAUCCAAUCUGAAAACACUUCGACUAUGGACAAAUCAGGUCAAGAUGAUGAAUUCAUUGAAAAUGGUGUACCCAAAAAAGUUGAUAAAAAUCAUGUUAAAGGUAAAAAACGUAAGAAGUGUUUACGUGACAAAACAGCACCAAGACCUCCACAUUCUGGGUACAUACGAUUUUUAAAUGAUAGACGUGAACAAUUCCGAUCUGAAAAUCCCAAUUUACCAUUUGCUGAAAUUACCAAAGUAUUAGCUACUGAAUGGAACCAAUUGCCAGUAGAUAAAAAACAACAAUAUCUUUUAGCUGCUGAACAAGAACGAGUAAAGUAUGUUGAAGAAUUAGCAGCUUAUAAAAAAACUGAUGCAUACAAAAAUUUUAUUCAACGCAAAUUGAAAAAAAAACAAUUGAAAAUCCCAAACCAAGAAGAUCAAAAAUCAGCAAAAGAAAAACCAUCUAACCAUAAUAUUAAUAAAGGUUACGAUAUACCUAUAUAUACAGAAGAAUUCUUAAAUUUUAAUAAAGCUAGAGAAAGUGAACUAAGGUACCUCCGUAAAACGGUAACAGAUCAAGAACAAGAAGUAGCUGUCUUAGAUAAACAUAUUGGAAAUAUGAAUAAUGGUAUAAUCAAAUUAAUGGCUAAUACUGAAAAACUUAAAGUUGGAUGUUCAAAGUAUGAACAGUAUUUGAUUCAAUUACGAUCUCUACUUUUAGAUAAUUUUUCUAAUAUUUCAUUCCCAGUUUUCCUUGUCAAAUGUGCAAAAUUAAUAUAAAUUAAUUGGGAGUUGUCAAAGGAUCGGCUGUCUAAAGUUUCUAACUGCCCGUAGUAUAACGCUCCCACAGUGAAAAUAUAUCAAUAUGUACAUUGGUAUAAUGAUAAACAAAAAAAAAAAAAUGACUAUCUUAGUGAUAGCAUUUUUGUAUAUAUAAUCUUAAGAUAAUAUUGAGCCACCUACAGCUGAGUCUAUUGAUACAUUCAUGGUUAAUUUAGCCACAUUUCUAUCAACCGGUGCUACUACUGAUCCUACUUGGCUUGCAAGCGUAAAAAAAGCUAUUUCUAACCAGGAUUUUUCUCAAUGUUAAAAUAAAGUAUAUUUUAAAUUAUCAAAUUAUAAGUCAUAAAUUAUCUGAUUA